rnacentral:rRNA from 1 species
CUACGGGGCGCAGCAGUGGGGAAUAUUGGACAAUGGGGGAAACCCUGAUCCAGCAAUGCCGCGUGUGUGAAGAAGGCCUGCGGGUUGUAAAGCACUUUCGGUUGGGAGGACUGCUUCUAGCACUAAUAUUGUUGGAAGUUGACGUUACCUUCAGAAGAAGCACCGGCUAACUCCCUGCCAGCAGCCGCGGUAAUACGGGCGGUGCAAGCGUUAAUCGGAAUUACUGGGCGUAAAGCGCGCGUAGGCGGCUAGAUCAGUCGGGUGUGAAAGCCCCGGGCUUAACCUGGGAACUGCAUCCGAUACUGUCUAGCUUGAGUACAGGAGAGGAGAGUGGAAUUCCACAUGUAGCGGUGAAAUGCGUAGAUAUGUGGAGGAACACCAAUGGCGAAGGCAGCUCUCUGGCCUGAUACUGACGCUGAGGUGCGAAAGCGUGGGGAGCAAACAGGAUUAGAUACCCCAGUAGUC